rnacentral:rRNA from 1 species
GACGAACGCUUGGCGGCGUGCUUAACACAUGCAAGUCGAACGAGGUCCAGCCGAGCUUUCGGGCAAAGCGAAGACCUAGUGGCGAACGGGUGCGUAACACGUGAGGAACCUGCCCCGGACUUGGGAAUAACAGUCGGAAACGUCUGCUAAUACCGAAUACCUUCGUAGCGUCGCAUGGCGCAUCGAAGAAAGCUUUUGCGGUUUGGGAGGGCCUCGCGGCCUAUCAGCUAGUUGGCGAGGUAACGGCUCACCAAGGCAUCGACGGGUAGCUGGUCUGAGAGGAUGAUCAGCCACACUGGGACUGAGACACGGCCCAGACUCCUACGGGAGGCAGCAGUGGGGAAUAUUGCACAAUGGGCGAAAGCCUGAUGCAGCAACGCCGCGUGCGGGAAGAAGGCCUUAGGGUUGUAAACCGCUUUCAGCAGGGAAGAAACUGACGGUACCUGCAGA